rnacentral:rRNA from 1 species
AGAAUCAACGCUGGCGGCGUGCCUAACACAUGCAAGUCGCACGAGAAAGGGGAGCAAUCCCUGAGUACAGUGGCGCACGGGUGAGUAACACGUGAAUCAUCUACCUCCGAGUGGGGAAUAACUGAGAGAAAUCUUAGCUAAUACCGCAUAACACUUACGAGUCAAAGCAGCAAUGCGCUUGGAGAGGAGUUCGCGGCCGAUUAGCUAGUUGGCGGGGUAAUGGCCCACCAAGGCGAUGAUCGGUA